ensembl:lncRNA
CAUUUCCUUUCCAUACAGCCACUCAAUUGGGGUUAUGGUGAGAAUAUUCCUCACAAAUCCUGGUUCUAGUGUACUGGCACAACUCCCUGUACGGUCUCAGGGUUCCCUGGUCACUGAGGACUCGUCUAGACUUCAGGUACCCUGUUUAUCCUCUCCAUGCUGUUCCUGCUCUCCUGACUAUCUCUUGACAAGUCACUGCCCUGCAAGCCACCCCCUAAUCAACUUCUGGCUUCCUAUCCUUGCAGGGCAGGUGCUCCAGAUCUCUGAUCAUCUUCACAGCCCUCCUCUGGACCCUCUCCAACAGCUCCACGUCUUUUCAGUACUGGUGGUCCCAGACCUGGAUGCAGUACUCCAAAUGGGGCCUCAAGAGGGCAGAGUAGAGAGGAAUAUCACCUCUCGGUCCCUGCUGUCCACCUCUCUUCUGAUGGAGCUCAGGGUACCAUUGGCCUUCCAAGUUACAAGAGCACACUGCUGGUUCACUUUCAGUUUUUUAUUCACCAGGACCCCCAGGUCCUUCUCCACAGGAUUUUUUCUCAAGGUGUUUUUCUCCUAGUCUGCAUACAUAUCUGGGGUUACUUCAACUCAAGUGCAAAGCCUUGUACUUUGCUGUGUUGAACCUCAUUAGGCUUAUGUUUGCCCACCUUUCAAGUUUGUUGAGGUCCCUCUGGAUGGCUUCGCUUCCUUCUAACAUCUCAACCGCACCACUAAGCUUGGUGCUAUCAGCAAACUUGCUCAGGGUGCACUCAAACCCAUCAUCGAUGUCAUUGAUGAAGAUCUGGAAGAGCACCAGUCCCAAGACAGACCCCUGGGGGACACCGCUUGUCACAAGCCUCCACCUGAACAUAGUGCCAUUCAACACAACCCUCUGACUACAGUCUUCCAAUCAAUUCCUUAUCCACCAAAUAGUCCACCCCUCAAAUCCAUCUCUCUCCAAUUUCGAGAUCAGGAUGUGGUGGGGGACCAUGUCAAAGGCCUUGCACAAGUCCAGGUAAAUGAUAUUGGUCGCCUCCCUUUGUCAACCAAUGCCACUCAAUGUCGUAACUCCAUAGAGUGAGAAUUGGUCUUAGAAAGUAUGCAUAAGCACAGAUAUGCAAACACUAAAGAACUUAACAGCAUCUAUCUUCCAUUCCAAUCAUCUCUAACUUAUUUAAAAUAUAUGGUUUAACCCUUUUUCAAACCAAUGUUUCUCCUUUAGAAUAUGAAAAAUUAAGUGACAGUUAUUAAUUUUUUUGGCAAAUACAUAUUACUUGUUUUGAUUCGUGUAAGAGAUUAUUCUUUUGCAUCAUUGUCUCAAAGUUUGCUGAGGGACACAGAUGAAUAAGUCCAAGCAAGUCCUGAACAAAGAUUGAGAAAUCCUUUGUCUGGAGAACACAGAUGGGCAAGUCCUGGGCAGGGGUUGCAAAAUCCUUUGUCUGAGGGACACAGAUGGACAAGGCCAAGGGCAACAAGAGAGAGAUAAGCCAGAACUUAAUGGCCAGGAAGCAGUCUUUUGUGUGGGCUUAUCUUGAGGGAGAUAGCCAUCUCAGGGGGUGCUGCACAUGACUGUUACCCAAGCACCCAGGAAUGCCACGUUGGCAGAAGAAGAAGGAAAAAAAAAGGAUGAACAACCAUGAGGUUAGGUUUCUGACAAUAGAUUGCUCAUGACCUGAGACCUGCAUGCUGAAGAACAAGAAGUUGUUUUCUGACAUGAAAAGCCUCACAACCUGCCUCUCUUCCUGGACUUGCUCUGUGUUCUACCUGCUUGCUUCCUAAGGCCGGCCUCUCUGCUGCUGCUCUCCCCCUGAGAAGGUGUCUGCCAUCAGAUCCCUCACUACAGAAGGCCUGCAUGCUGACGGACUCUCCAGGGCCUGCUACAGAAGACCUGCUGCUUCCUCCCAGACUUUUUCCUGGACCUACUCGGUACCUGCACCUUCUUGCUGCCCAAGACGAGCCAUGCUCCUGCUGCUCUUCCCCUGCACUUUUGCUCCGGACCGUCGGAAUGUCGUGCAACGGGACCGCUGCUGGAUCCUGGUGGUGACUAUCCCCGCUUUACACAAUUCUUGCUUCUUUCUAUCUUUUCUGUCGCCUGCCUUCCCUUUCCCAUCACCCUAAAUCAUCCAUCCUCCCCUUCCCCAUCUUCCUGAUUAAGAUUUGUAAUAAACUGGUCUGACCAACAUUUGAACCAUUGUUUCUUAAUCUCACGACGUGUAUACACAUAUCAAAGAACCUCUUCUCCCUCCUAUAAAUUGGAGCGAGACUAUUCUGUAAAAAAAAAAAAAAAAAAAAAAAAAAAAAAAGCAAACAAAAAUAUUGAGUCAAAGACUGAAAUCUGAACAUUAGCAAUAAUUUGUUUCACCCACACUUGCCCUUAUACAGAUUUUUUUAUUUUUUUAAACUUCUUUAUGGUUGGAAAUGAGAUACCAUAUUAUAUAGACUAAUGGAUAGGUACAUUUCUAUCUUCAGAACAAAAAAAAUAAAAUCUAUCAUCGAAUGCUUUUUCUUAACUGCAGUUAUUCUGAAAAUCGCGUUCUGCCUUCCUACAUUGUCCGUCUUAUUCAGCUUUCAAAUUUGGCAAAUCUGGAGAUCUGUCUUUUUGUCUGCCUUUAACAAAGUUUCUGAAAUAGUCCUCACUUCACAAUAUCUAUGUCUAGUUCUUUGACUAUUUCCUGUGUAAUGAAGGAAUGUCUAAUUACAGAGCAAGAUUCUUGCAGAAAUAUUCCCUUAUGGUCUGCAAUCAAAGCCUAUACAUAAACACAGAGGUAUAAUAAGUAACACUCACAUUUCUACCUUAUAACCCCUUUUUUUUUUUUUUAGCUUUAUUUCUCUCUUUUGAAUAGGCUAAAUUGCCCUAAUCAGUGAAGUAAAUUUACUGUGAAUCCAAAUCUCUGUAUUAUUUCACUUUUCACUCUUUUUUUCCUGUAUAUCUGUCUGUUUACUAGGUUAAUCCUUGUGUUUUUUUCCUUCCUUCCUCCCUCCCUCCCUUCCUUCCUCCCUCCCUCCCUUCCUUCCUUUCUUCCUCCCUCCCUCCCUCCCUCCCUCCCU